CAGUAGCCGCGGGAAUACGUAGGGUGCGAGCGCUAAUCGGAAUUACUGGGCGUAAAGCGUGCGCAGGCGGUUGUGUAAGACAGGUGUGAAAUCCCCGGGCUUAACCUGGGAACUGCGCUUGUGACUGCACAGCUAGAGUAUGGCAGAGGGGGGUGGAAUUCCACGUGUAGCAGUGAAAUGCGUAGAGAUGUGGAGGAACACCGAUGGCGAAGGCAGCCCCCUGGGCCAAUACUGACGCUCAUGCACGAAAGCGUGGGGAGCAAACAGGAUUAGAUACCCCUGUAGUCCCUGUCUCUUAUAC
rnacentral:rRNA from 1 species